CGCACUGCAAGAGCAGAAGCUACAGAGAGAGCCCCCCACCCACCCAUGCGAGGGUGGGCACGGGAAAAACGUUUUUUAUUAAGGGUAGAAGUGGAUUUGAAAGAUCUGGAAGCAGAAUGUUCACACUGCAGUCACAGCAAGUGCAAAUGGCCUGAGGAGAUGGGAGCAGCCCCCUUCUCAUUGAAGUGGGAGGCUCUGGAAGGGGCCAGGAUCCGGGCUGGCGGCCCUCCUCAGCCCUGCGAUGGAGGGGCCCCAGCUGGGAGCAGGGUCUGCACCAGGAGGCAUUUCCUCUCAGAGCUGUAAUUAUGGCACCUCACCUGUCUUCAUUCGGGAUCCCCAAGGAGCAGGCCCUAUGACCAGAACUCAGGAGCAUCAUUAUUUGGGAGGUCACUCCAGGAAGCCCAGGUCGCAGUGAGGAGAGACGGCGUCCUGCAGAAGAUGUCGGGGAGUGGGCUCCCCGGAGGCUGGGUUUCCAGGGCGCCCCCAGGGAAGACGGAGAUGCUCUACUGAAAGGACUGGGAGCUUGGGCGUUUGUAAUCAACUUCCUUCCGUCUGUUUCAGGGCUGCUCCCAGGAGAGCCCAGUGGGCCAGCAGCUCGGCCUCCCGUGGCCCGAGCAGGGAAACGCCAUCUGGCAGGUGGCCUGCACUUUUCGACCACAGUCACCUCAAUGCCUCAUUUUGUUUGCCCACACUCCCCCUCCCAAAGGUAUUCAGUGGCUUCUCAAAAUUUACUGUA